rnacentral:rRNA from 1 species
UACAGAGGGGCAAGCGUUGUUCGGAAUUACUGGGCGUAAAGGGCGCGUAGGCGGCCUGUUAAGUCGAACGUGAAAUCCCCGGGCUCAACCCGGGAACUGCGUCCGAUACUGGCAGGCUUGAAUCCGGGAGAGGGAUGCGGAAUUCCAGGUGUAGCGGUGAAAUGCGUAGAUAUCUGGAGGAACACCGGUGGCGAAGGCGGACAUCCUGGACGGCAUUGACGCCUGAGGCGCGAAAGCCAGGGAGGCAAACGGGG